rnacentral:ncRNA from 1 species
CUAUGUCAUGAAUUUGGCAUGGCGAAAGGAG